CGACAGGUUAUGCCGACGGGGGACGUUAGCUAAAGAUUUCGACGGACGAGAAAAAUGGGGUGGUCGGUGGUAAUAUUUUUUGGGUAAAAAUGCGAUAUGAUACAGCAAGAUCUUCGUCUUGAGGAUGGGCAGGGCUUCCCAACCAUCCGAGUCUCUACGGCGUUUUGAGCCACACAGGAGAAGGCCUCAGGUCUCCUGACUCAGAGGUGUUUUUUUGGCUUUCUCUGAAGCCGAAUCCUUUGACUGUACAAAAUAUCACUGACUUGUAUAAUUUGUCACCUGGAGAGAAUAAUAAAAUGGUGAUUGUCAGA